rnacentral:lncRNA from 1 species
UAAGCUUUUUAAUUUGGACUAGCCAAUUCCUAAUUCCAUGGCCCAUGUUGGGGAAAAAUAGAUCCACAAUUCCAUCUUAGUUCCAUGCCCAAUUCCUAAUUCCAUGGCAAUUUUUUGGGGAAAAAAGCAGAUCUCAUAUCCCUAAUUCCAUCUCACUAUCUCAGUUCCUCUCUACGACAUAUGUUUGCGGCUUCUUCACCCCUCUCGAUCUCUCAUCUCUCCUCCGGCACCUUCGCCCCUUCCUUCUCUUCCUCGGUUCCUCCCGCUCUCCACUAAUCACAAGCACUGAACCCUCAUAUCUCAGAUUUCACCACUAUUUCACCACUAGUAUCCCCCGAUUUCAGCCCCAAAAUAUCGAUGAUGAAGGCUUAUAAUAUCCACCGCUUCGAUAAAUCCACUCUCGUCUCUCACAGUACGGACAAACGAUGGAUUUGGAGUGCCUUUGAAGGACUCAACGUGGGUAAAAAUCAUAGAUCUGUUAUUGGUUCCUCUUCUUAUUUUCUGUUUUAAACAGGCUCUCUCCAUAGAGACUGUCUGGAAUUGGAUUUGCUUGUAAUAUUGUAAUGUUGUGGUGUUUUCUGUUCAAAGUAGUUCACGUUUGUUACUAAGAUGUAUGAAACCAUGAAUUAAAUGGCUUCUAAGAAGCAGUUGCCUCUUUCUUUUGUAAAGUUUUAGUGUAGAAAUAUCCUUUUGUAUCUAAUUAAUUUGUUAUCCCAGCCCAGAUUUUGUUACUUGCUUUUGUUUUUAUGGAAUCUUUUUUGGGUGUUAUUUUUGAUAGCAUUGUUCGGUUAUUAUCUGAAAUACCGAAUUUAUAAUUCGGUAUUUGAUUAUUCGGUUAUUUUUAAAAUUCGGUUAUUAGUUCGGAUAUUAAAAAUAUGAAUAUUUCGGUAUCCGGUUAUAACCGAAUAGCUUAUUCGGUUCAAUUAUAACCGAAUGAUUAGUCCUAUAUGCAUCAACCUUUUGGCCAUGUCCUCAGUCUCAAUACUAAAAG